CCUACGGGAGACAGCAGUGAGGAAUAUUGGUCAAUGGGCGCGAGCCUGAACCAGCCAAGCAGCGUGAAGGAUGACUGCCCUACGGGUUGUAAACUUCUUUUAUAAAGGAAUAAAGUGAGGCACGUGUGCCUUUUUGUAUGUACUUUAUGAAUAAGGAUCGGCUAACUCCGUGCCAGCAGCCGCGGUAAUACGGAGGAUACGAGCGUUAUCCGGAUUUAUUGGGUUUAAAGGGAGCGUAGAUGGGUUGUUAAGUCAGUUGUGAAAGUCUGCGGCUCAACCGUAAAAUUGCAAUUGAUACUGGCAGUCUUGAGUGCAGUUGAGGUAGGCGGAAUGCGUGGUGUAGCGGUGAAAUGCUUAGAUAUCACGAAGAACUCCGAUUGCGAAGGCAGCUUACUAAACUGCCACUGACGUUGAUGCUCGAAAGUGUGGGUAGCAAACAGGAUUAGAUACCCUUGUAGUC
rnacentral:rRNA from 1 species